rnacentral:misc_RNA from 1 species
AAAAAAAAAAGAAAAAAAAUUAAAAAAAAAUUCCUGGACUUUUCUCAUUCAAAAACAGUUCUUGUGAUUCUUCUGGUCGGAAUUUCAAUUAAAUCUGCAGUAAAUGCAAACUAACUUCUCUAAACGCAAUAUAGUAUUUUAAAUUUGUGGCAGCAAUGAUUUGUUGCAAUAUUCCAAGUAUUAUACAAGGCCAACAUAAGGGUAUAAAUUAUUAAGGACCGCAGAGUUUAUUAGGUGGUCCACAAGCAAAAGAUAUGCAGACCA